UGGGGAAUAUUGCACAAUGGGCGCAAGCCUGAUGCAGCCAUGCCGCGUGUAUGAAGAAGGCCUUCGGGUUGUAAAGUACUUUCAGCGAGGAGGAAGGCGUUGUGGUUAAUAACCGCAACGAUUGACGUUACUCGCAGAAGAAGCACCGGCUGACUCCGUGCCAGCAGCCGCGGUAAUACGGAGGGUGCAAGCGUUAAUCGGAAUUACUGGGCGUAAAGCGCACGCAGGCGGUCUGUCAAGUCGGAUGUGAAAUCCCCGGGCUCAACCUGGGAACUGCAUCCGAAACUGGCAGGCUAGAGUCUUGUAGAGGGGGGUAGAAUUCCAGGUGUAGCGGUGAAAUGCGUAGAGAUCUGGAGGAAUACCGGUGGCGAAGGCGGCCCCCUGGACAAAGACUGACGCUCAGGUGCAAAAGCGUGGGGAGCAAACA
rnacentral:rRNA from 1 species